GGAAAGAUGGCGGAAUUGGUAGACGCUACGAUGGCGCGACUUGGGAUAUAAAUGCAUUAUGGAUGUGUUAAUGUAUUCGCCCCCACAUCGUAAUCUCACAAAUAUUUACAGGUUCGAACCCUGUUCUUUCCA
rnacentral:tRNA from 1 species